rnacentral:lncRNA from 1 species
AUGGGCGCUGUCUCUCCGCCUCUUCCGUCUUGGAGAUUCUCUCGGAUCGAUGUGGUGUCCCUGGUCCCGCGAGGGAGGCCCGUCGGGCAGGCGGUGAUGACUCUGUCGCUCACCCGCCUGUUCCUGGCUCCCGCUGCCCCGCCUGGGGGAGGGGGGAGUGGCGGUUCCUGCCCAAGUCGGGUGGACCGGGCCCUGCUCCUAGGGCCGUGUUUCUGCUUUGGCGGCGGCCUCGAACGGUGGGCUGUGGGUGAGGUUGAGCCGGCUUCCCUUCCCCCCCCUCCUUGCCGAUCGCCUUCCCGCGGGUCGCGUGUGUGCCGUGUGUUCCGAGUUCUCGGCGGGCCGCCCCCCGCCGCGUUUGUGUGGGUCUUUUCCUGCGCCGGGCCCCAUUUUGGGCCCGGUCGGGGCCGCUUGACCCCCGCGCGGCGGACCCUCGUGGGUCCCGUUUGCUCCUCGGCGGCGCUGCGUCCUCGAGCGCCCGCGAUCUCGGCUUUUCCGUGUUGCCUCUCCGCCUCUUUCCCCGCGUGUGCCGGGGCGGGCUUUGCCUCCUGCCGCUCUCUUGGGCUCG